rnacentral:rRNA from 1 species
CGCCGGGCAGCUCACCGGAUAAGACAGCUGGAUGAUAGCCGGGCUGAAGACUCUGCUUGACUAGCUGAGAGGAGGUGCAUGGCCGUCGUCAGUUCGUACUGUGAAGCAUCCUGUUAAGUCAGGCAACGAGCGAGACCCCACGCCAACAGUUGCCAGCAUGUCCUCCGGGAUGAUGGGGACACUGUUGGGACCGCCUCUGCUAAAGAGGAGGAAGGAAUGGGCAACGGUAGGUCAGCAUGCCCCGAAUUAUCCGGGCUACACGCGGGCUACAAUGGUCAGGACAAUGGGUAUCGACACCGAGAGGUGGAGGCAAUCUCCUAAACCUGUCCUUAGUUCGGAUUGUGGGCUGCAACUCGCCCACAUGAAGCUGGAAUCCGUAGUAAUCGCGUUUCAAAAUAGCGCGGUGAAUAUGUCCCUGCUCCUU